AUGCUAAGAGAUCCCAAGCGUGAAACUCGCAAAAGCAAGACACCAAUUUGAUUAUUAUAUGCAAAAAAUAAAUUUAUUUAAUAAACAAAACAAUAUAAUAUUAUAUUAUACGAUGUGUUUCUAAUAUAGUAAUAUCAUAAAAAACAUUGAUAACAAUAUUCACUGAGAAUAUAAUAAUCAUAAUAUUAUGCUACGAUAAUAUACAGCUGAUUACCAGAUGAAACUAUUAUUUUUUUUUUUUGCUGCAUGUGAUGAGAUUAUUCUAAUGAUUAUGGUUGUAGAUAACGACGAAGGUAAACACGUCGUGUUGUAGAUAUAUGUAUAAUAAAUAAUAUCUUAACCCAUGAUGUUUAUACCGUAUUUAUGAUUAGAUAAUAUAAUAUGAAAAUAUAAUAUUAUGUACUUUCUAUCAAAUAAAAACGUAAUUAAUUGGUGUUAGGAAUUCAAUACUUCUGUCAAAUCGUAAGAUCAAACACUAACUGAAUCAAAUAACGCAGACUAUAAUUAUUACUAUUCUUAAUGAUCCGAGAUGCGAAUAAUAGCUAAAGUCAUAAUUUUGAAUAUAUUGGUUUGUAAAUUCAUUCCUUUGACAAGUUAUGGGAAGACCACGAACAUCAUUUUUAAUAAGAUCAUAAGCUGUGUUAAAUGUAGCCUCGUAACUGGGCAAACGUUUCUGCUUCUCUACAAUAUAUAAAU